rnacentral:rRNA from 1 species
UGCCUCGGGAGGCAGCAGUGGGGAAUAUUGCACAAUGGGGGAAACCCUGAUGCAGCAACGCCGCGUGAGUGAAGAAGGUUUUCGGAUUGUAAAGCUCUGUUAGCAGGGAAGAGGAAGGACGGUACCUGCAGAGGAAGCCACGGCUAACUACGUGCCAGCAGCCGCGGUAAUACGUAGGUGGCAAGCGUUGUUCGGAAUAACUGGGCGUAAAGGAUGCGUAGGCGGGUAAACAAGGUAUAUGUUAAAUAUAUAGGCUUAACCUGUAGAAAGCAUAUAAAACUGUUUAACUAAAGAGCAGGAGAGGG